UCGUCAGCUGCGCAGCCGGUUUGCCCGUCGCGAGCGCUGCGGCUCCGGCAAUGUUUCCGUGGGCAUUGACAAAAGGUUCACGCUCCACAACGUGAACCUUGUGCUAGUGUCUCCGGAAACCAAGUGGUUCCACGUGAUAUGUAUGCCCAGCGUUCUGUCAUUAAACAUGCCAAAAAUUGAGGUAACCGGAAGCGGUUUCAUGCUGUAUCAAUGACGUUUUGCACGUAGCGCAAGAAGUCACGAUUUCGAAUAUAUGCCAGUGAAGAUUCGCGGGAGAAUCGGCGGGAAAUACCGCGGCAAAAGUUGUUUCUCAUCCGCUUUCCGCUCUUGUCAUAUGCCAUAUCUGUUUUGAAUCUGGUACCGGCGCAAAACGUUUUAUUUGGCAACGAUUUUGUGCGGUGCGCCGCUGCUCUAACCAUGCACGCGACCGCUAAAAAGUCCCGACGGAUCUAUCGCGUCAUUCACGGAUCCUCGCACUGCGUGGAAUGAAAGAAUCCUAUUUACCUUUCUACACCUUCAAGAAACCCUCGAGAAUAUGAACCGAAACAAGCUGCAGUGGAAUAAAAAGCGAUUCCAUAACGGCCUAUUGUGAUGUCUCGAUUUGUUUCGCUUUUGU